rnacentral:tRNA from 3 species
GGGCCGGUAGCUCAGGGGAUAGAGCUGCAGUCUUCGGAACUGCGAGUCGGGGGUUCGAAUCCCUCCCGGCCCGCCA